rnacentral:lncRNA from 1 species
CAACACUCUGAAACUCGCAUUCUUCUUACGAAACCCUCAAAAUCGCUAUCACUCUCAAAAUCCCUAAUACUCCAAUAUUGAAUCCCUAACCGCACUCAUGUUCAUCACGAUUCAGCAUCGAAUCGCACUCAAAAUCCUCAGUGUUCAUCACGAUUCAACACUGAAUCCAGAACUCACUCUCGUUCAUUCGCACCAUCACUUCUUCAGAAUCGUGAACGGUUCUCGUUCGCACCAUUGCACCAAUAUUCAUGUAGUAAUUGAUUUCCUCU